UUGAAAAAUCCAAGCAUGGGCUAGUUUUGGCUUCUUUAUAGAACUUGUUCAAAACUUUCCAUGGAGCAGAGUAAUUUUUUGAACGAAUAUGAUACAGACCUAAUAGGGGCUGUAAACUCGCAAACGAGAUGACGCGAGAUUUGAGUAUUUCCGGUGACAAACAAACCUUUACGGUUUGCAUGAAAUCAUACAAGUUGGAAAUAUCCUGCAGUUUUUAUCGUUGUUUUGGACGAUGGAAAGAAUUGGACGUUAUGGGGAAAGUUUUGCGGGUUAGAUGCCAUUGAAACCGGUCUCUUGAAAUAUUCCCGGACACCUUGAUACCCACGCCAUGACAUACAGUUCCUGUAAGUGCUGACUUACCGUCAAAGCAGUGACUUGUGUAACACCUAAUGGUGCAAUCACUUAUUUUUCAACUUUGAAUAUUAUACAGGAUCAACAUGUGCUCCACAGCAGAAUUCCCGCAAAACCCACGACUGGAAUUAAGCACUGUUUUUUGUUUUUUUUAAAUUUGAUAUAAUUUUCUUCAUUUAUUAUUUUUUUCAAAUCCUUUAUGAAUAAGAUAAAACGUGUGUGUCAAAUAUUUUAGUAUAAAUAAAAAUGCACUACUGAU